AUACGUAGGUGGCGAGCGUUGUCCGGAAUUACUGGGCGUAAAGGGCGUGUAGGCGGGGGGACAAGUCAGAUGUGAAAUACCGCAGCUUAACUGCGGGGCUGCAUCUGAAACUGUUCUUCUUGAGUGUCGGAGAGGAAAGUGGAAUUCCCAGUGUAGCGGUGAAAUGCGUAGAGAUUGGGAGGAACACCAGUGGCGAAGGCGGCUUUCUGGACGUUAACUGACGCUGAGGCGCGAAAGCGUGGGGAGCAAACAGGAUUAGAUACCCUGGUAGUCCACGCUGUAAACGAUGGAUACUAGGUGUAGGAGGUAUCGACCCCUUCUGUGCCGGAGUUAACACAAUAAGUAUCCCGCCUGGGGAGUACGGCCGCAAGGUUGAA
rnacentral:rRNA from 1 species